rnacentral:sRNA from 1 species
UGCGUGGCUGCUUGCAGACAAAGCGCUGUGGCGAUUCACGAAUCCAACAGAUAUGAGUAUGCAGGGCGAUAGCCCGGAAUACGAAUAUCUGUAGCAUUUCGAGAGCCCGCAGGGCGGAAAAAUGCGUAGGG